rnacentral:rRNA from 1 species
GAUGAACGCUGGCGGCGUGCUUAACACAUGCAAGUCGAACGGAAAGGCCAGUGCUUGCGCUGGUACUCGAGUGGCGAACGGGUGAGUAACACGUGGGUGAUCUGCCCUGCACUUCGGGAUAAGCUUGGGAAACUGGGUCUAAUACCGGAUAGGACCAUUGGUUGGUGCCUUUGGUGGAAAGUUUUUCGGUGUGGGAUGAGCUCGCGGCCUAUCAGCUUGUUGGUGGGGUAAUGGCCUACCAAGGCGUCGACGGGUAGCCGGCCUGAGAGGGUGUACGGCCACAUUGGGACUGAGAUACGGCCCAGACUCCUACGGGAGGCAGCAGUGGGGAAUAUUGCACAAUGGGCGCAAGCCUGAUGCAGCGACGCCGCGU